rnacentral:ncRNA from 1 species
AAAACUUUACCGCCGGGUAUUACCUGUCAGCAUUCCAUUAGGCCAUAGAAGGAGUGUUUGAUGGGGAUUUUUUUUG